rnacentral:rRNA from 1 species
UGGUAAUGCCGGAUGCUCCGACUCCUCGCAUGGGGUGUCGGGAAAGAUUUCAUCGGUAUGGGAUGGGGUCGCGUCCUAUCAGGUAGUCGGCGGGGUAACGGCCCACCGAGCCUACGACGGGUAGCCGGCCUGAGAGGGCGACCGGCCACAUUGGGACUGAGAUACGGCCCAGACUCCUACGGGAGGCAGCAGUGGGGAAUAUUGCACAAUGGGCGCAAGCCUGAUGCAGCGACGCCGCGUGCGGGAUGACGGCCUUCGGGUUGUAAACCGCUUUUGAUCGGGAGCAAGCCUUCGGGUGAGUGUACCUUUCGAAUAAGCACCGGCUAACUACGUGCCAGCAGCCGCGGUAAUACGUAGGGUGCAAGCGUUAUCCGGAAUUAUUGGGCGUAAAGGGCUCGUAGGCGGUUCGUCGCGUCCGGUGUGAAAGUCCAUCGCUUAACGGUGGAUCUGCGCCGGGUACGGGCGGGCUGGAGUGCGGUAGGGGAGACUGGAAUUCCCGGUGUAACGGUGGAAUGUGUAGAUAUCGGAAAGAACACC